AGCCUUGUAUUUAAUUUAUAAUAUUAAAUUGCAAAUUUAAAGUAGAUAAAAAAUCUAAGGCUU
rnacentral:tRNA from 1 species